rfam:Selaginella moellendorffii unplaced genomic scaffold SELMOscaffold_45, whole genome shotgun sequence.
GCCUUUGUACCUCACUGGUAGAGCGUCAGUCUUGUAAACUCAAGGUCUUGAGUUCAAUCCUUCGUGAAGGCA